UCCAAGUUGUGUACUGGAUCAAGACUUCUGGGAUUCAAUGGAAGCAUUGGAAAGUCCUCAGGGUUUAACACUUGAAGGUUUUUCGAAUUCUCCAGCUGAAAGAAUCAAGAAGUUGAUUGAAUGUACUUUCCCUGCCGAAGUACCCAACUGGACUUGGGCCGAGGAUGAUUGGAUUACAGUUAGAAAUAGUGACACUGAGGAAAUCUCGGUGGAUACGCCUUCAGUUCCAACUGCAUUCUUGACCUCAGAUUCAAUUUUUUAUGAACAAGAGCUUGAAAGAUCAAUUUUUUAUGAAGAUUUGCUAAUGG
rnacentral:misc_RNA from 1 species